UAAUAUCAGGAGAAGGGAGACGUGGAAACAGUUAAAAGGCUCCACGUGAUUGGCCAGUUUGGAGGACACGUGACGUUGUUGGCAGCAGACGCCAUUUUUCACAGAUGUUUCUUGAUGCCAGGUUGUUUUUGAGCCUUUUGGGGCUCAUUUAAAAGAAGAGAAUGCCAUCGUCAUCAUCCCGAAAGUUGGGUUCUGAAGUCAGAAGAGUGGCAAAGAGGAGGAGGAGAUCAUCUGUCAGCCAGCAGACGGAAACAUGGGUGGGUGGUUGCAAGGCUGGAUGAAUGCGUGUAGACGAGUGAACUCCAAGACCCCAGUGCAGCUCAUCAUCAUUGCCAUGGGCUCUUCCUUCUCUCCUCCUGUGGCCCGCACCUCCAUCCAGGGGUCCAGCUCAAACCACGAAGCCCGAGCGGGGAGCUAGUGAGUGGGCAGGGAAGGAUGGAGUAGGUCCCUGAAGGCUAAAAGCACCUCUGCGGGAGAAAUCAAUAGGAAGCAUGCUCGCCUCCAUGUAGGGUUUCCUGUGCUUCUCUGUGGCCUCGGGGGCCCGCGGGCCUCCAAAGGACGGGCCCUGUGCGGCCCCUCUCAGCUGGACCGGACCCCGUCUCCACUUGGCUGCGUGUGGUUUUGCUGAGGGGGAUCUCUCCCCCCACCCAAUUGAUUCCAAUACAGUGAAUGCUGAAACACAGCCAAGAGGGAUAGUUCUUUUUCUUCAUCUUUUUCCCUACAAAAGAUUGACGUAUUCCCCACCUUCUUUCAAAACCAGUAUGAGACUUUUGACUUCUUUCCAUCCUCAGCUGUUGAUGUUUUUUCCCUUUUUCUUGGUUUGCUAUCACUAUAGUCUAUAGUGAGCCGUGCGACUGCAUGUGUUCAAACCAGAAACACAUUUCUGCGUCCAUGAUGUGUGUAGUUUUAUUCCACAAAAUGGACUGAACAGGAAAGAAGAGGACCACAGAGCUCUCAUUCUAAUGAAUGUGACACCAGAAAAUGAACUGAGAUUGUUGUGGAUCCAUAACAGUGCUAUCCUGUAAUAUAAUAGAGACCACAAAUGUGUAUGUAUUGUGAGUACAUAUGGAAAUACACUGCAAAUAAUCCAGUUUUGCCAUACAAAGUGUUUUUACUGGAAAUAAAAUUCAAAGUGUCAACAUUGUAUUUAUUUUUUCUAUUGUAUUGUGACCACUAUUUCUUUUUUAUACACUUCUGAAGAAUUGGCUUCAUAUAGUUUCCAUUAUAACAUGCUGUGUUUACAUCUUGUAUAAAUCCAUG